AUUGAACGCUGGCGGCAUGCCUAACACAUGCAAGUCGAACGGCAGCACGGGAGGUUCUUGCUGUUGGCGGGGGCGGGAGGCGGACGGGAGACAUAGGCACCGGUCUUUAAGUUUGCGUGAGGGAGAAGGAAGGCGGACUAACACUGAUACCGCAUACGGGCUGAGAGUGAGAGACCGGGGUGUUCGGCGCUUUCGCGUUGGCAGGUGCCGAUGUCUGAUUAGCUAGUUGGCGGGGUAAAGGCCUACCAAGGCGACGAUCAGUAGCUGGUCUGAGAGGAUGACCAGCCACACUGGAACUGAGACACGGCCCAGACUCCUACGGGAGGCAGCAGUGGGGAAUUUUGGACAAUGGGCGAAAGCCUGAUCCAGCAAUGCCGCGUGUGUGAAGAAGGCCUUCGGGUUGUAAAGCACUUUUGUCGGGAAAGAAAACCUGGGGGCUAAUACGGUCGGGGGAUGACGGUACCGGAAGAAUAAGCACCGGCUAACUACGUG
rnacentral:rRNA from 1 species